CCAGAGGAAUCCACGAAGCCCUGAAUUGCAGAUUUUGGUUGAGGCAGUGGGAUUUUGGACCUGAGAUUGAUCACCCAUCAGUAGUUGCUGGAUUUGGAUCUGUCCUCACCCGAUUUGGAGAUCAUUAGAUCUUGAGGGGCUUUGUUGCUGGUUUGGAGGUGUUUCCAGCAGUGUUGCUUGUGAUCCGAGACCCUCUUGCUUCCAGGAUUUUCACUAGAG